rnacentral:rRNA from 1 species
AUGUAUGAGGAUGUUGUACAGUGGCGGUUCACGGGCUUUUAUGGUCAUCCGAACUGGAACGAACUUCAUUUAUCUUGGGAUGAUAUUCGUAAUUUACAUAGUAAGGGCGACCACCCUUGGGUGGUUUUGGGGGAUUUUAAUGAAAUUUUAUAUCCCUCGGAAAAAGAGGGCGGUAAUGCAAGACCAAAUGGAAUGAUGAGGGAUUUUCUUGAAUGCCUUAUGGACUGUGGGCUGGAAGACUUAGGUUACAGGGGCGACCCUUUUACUUGGAGUAGAGGUGAAAUUCGAGAGCGUCUCGGUCAGGCAGUUUGUAAUGUGGGGUGGGCACAUAAAUUUCCUCGUGCAGCGGUGAUUAAUGAAGAACAUGUCCAUUCUGAUCAUCGGCCGCUGGUC